AGGAGGAGCGGGAGGAGGAGGAGGGGGAGGAGGGGGAGUAGCAGGGGAAGAGACACAGUGAGAGAGAAUACAUGUAAUGCUCUCAAAUUGAAAUUCAUCCUACCCCGUCUUCCCUUUAUAAUCUCAUUCAAAUUCCACAGUCUGUUGCUCGCUCAUAUUUAAAUGAGCACUUGACUAAAUCCCUCUUGUGCUUUUGCUUUUCUUGGCCGCCGCUCUGUUGCAUCCGAGCAAGCUGGACGACGCUUCUCUGCAACAAAAAAAAAAAAAAAAGCUGGCGCGCUUCUUUGUGUUUUUGGUCAAUACGCAGAAAUAGAAUUUUAGGAAGCCGGGGGCCGUGUGCGAUGAGGCUAAACAGGUCUAAUGACAGGCUGGCUGGCGACCUGCGUCUGUUCUGGCCGGAGAAGAUUGGUGGCUGUCAUAGUCUGAGCGCAAAUAUUUCUGUGUGAGCCUCAAAGAUGGUGACGGCAGGUUGGAUCCUGAUAUUUCCCUGGGGUUCCUUGUCAAGCCAACUUGUGUUGUUUCUCCCCGGAUGAUCAGGGAGAUGGGGGGGGAGAUGGAAAGGCAGCAGGAACUUUAUCCCCUUACAGACCGAUAGAUGCUCUCACAUCACAUCCAGGUUAGAGAAGAUGCAGGUGGCACGAGGGUUUCGUGGCCUGGAGCCACUCUAAACGACUGAAAAAAGACUGUUUCAUAAAACAUAAUGAUAUGCAUGAAAAAUUAUUUAAAAAGGAGCACUUUAAACGCAGACUGCAGCGGGUUUUAUCAGAUGUAGGUGUCAAAGCUCCUGCAGAUGGAAAGGAAUGAGUAUGAAUACAUUAAGAAUAGAGGAGAAUACAAUAAAAUACAGUGCAUGAAAAUGCUAUCAGGUAUUUAUUCAGGACCGACUGUUGGAAGAGCCAUGGGAUAACUUCUGUUAUUAUUUGGUGCUUGAAUUAAAUUUGACUAUACAGUACAGCCUCAGAGCAUUGUUUCAUUUUUCUUGUAUUCGUCUUAUUUCAAUGAAUGUCCGUUGAAGUCCACAUAGAUUUCCUCGUGCUGGAUCAAAACUGCGACAAACAUUCAGGAACGCAGAGAACUGGAUCUUUCUGCAUCUGCUCAAAGCUGACAGAAACACAGUCCAUAAACUUAAUCGAGAUAUUCGUCUUCAUGGAUAAUUAUUUUUCUCAAAAAGAGCUAUAUAGUACAAUAGUUUACCUCGAGGUGUCAGUCAUAUAGCAUGCAUUAAAUAUACUGUUGACAAACCUUGAUUCCACCGGGCAAGACUC